AUGGGCUGCUCGUCUGGCACCACCUGGGCGCAUCCUGUGAGCCAGAGCCAAGUGCAUCUGAGAAGAUAGUCAUCCACUAAACAAACAUGGUCGGCCCCAUCGUGUCCCAGAAGCAUUCCAAGACCGACGAUAAGAGGUAUAAGUCGCCCUCCACAAGCUCACGGUCUCCAAGGGCAGACUGGUAUUACCAGGCGAUAGCACAGUUGUAAAAGGA